rnacentral:rRNA from 1 species
UAUUGGGCAAUGGGCGCAAGCCUGACCCAGCAAUGCCGCGUGAAGGAAUAAGGCCCUCGGGUUGUAAGCUUCUUUUAUCAGGGACGAAGGAUGUGACGGUACCUGAUGCAUAAGCUCCGGCUAACUACGUGCCAGCAGCCGCGGUAAUCCGUAGGGAGCAAGCGUUAUCCGGAUUUACUGGGUGUAAAGGGCGCGUAGGCGGGAUGGCAAGUCAGAUGGGAAAUCCAGGGGCUCAACCCCUGAACUGCAUUUGAAACUGUCGUUCUUGAGUACUGGAGAGGUUGACGGAAUUCCUAGUGUAGCGGUGAAAUGCGUAGAUAUUAGGAGGAACACCAGUGGCGAAGGCGGUCAACUGGACAGCAACUGACGCUGAGGCGCGAAAGCGUGGGGAGCAAACAGG